CCGCACUUUUCCCGCACCGCAA
rnacentral:siRNA from 1 species